GUGGGGAAUUUUGGACAAUGGGGGCAACCCUGAUCCAGCCAUGCCGCGUGCGGGAAGAAGGCCUUCGGGUUGUAAACCGCUUUUAGCUGGGAAGAAAAGGCACGGGCCAAUACCCCGUGUUCUUGACGGUACCGGCGGAAUAAGCACCGGCUAACUACGUGCCAGCAGCCGCGGUAAUACGUAGGGUGCGAGCGUUAAUCGGAAUUACUGGGCGUAAAGCGUGCGCAGGCGGUUCGUUGUGUUUGCGGUGAAAGCCCCGGGCUCAACCUGGGAAUGGCCGUGAAAACUGGCGAGCUGGAGUGUGGCAGAGGGGGGUGGAAUUCCAGGUGUAGCAGUGAAAUGCGUAGAGAUCUGGAGGAACACCGAUGGCGAAGGCAGCCCCCUGGGCUGACACUGACGCUCAGGCACGAAAGCGUGGGGAGCAAACAGGAUUAGAUACCCCAGUAGUCC
rnacentral:rRNA from 1 species